GAUAUCCUGAGAGGUGAUGCAUAGCCGAGUGAGGCGAAUUCGGUGAUCCUUUGCUGCCAAGAAAAGCCUCUAGCGAGCACACACACGGCCCGUACCCCAAACCAACACAGGUGGUCAGGUAGAGAAUACCAAGGCGUACGAGUGAACUAUGGUUAAGGAACUCGGCAAAAUACCCCCGUAACUUCGGGAGAAGGGGGACCUCCUACUGUCAUGGCCCUUGCGGCCGGCAGCGGUGGGGGGUGGCACAAACCAGUGAGAAGCGACUGUUUACUAAAAACACAGGUCCGUGCGAAGUCGCAAGACGAUGUAUACGGACUGACGCCUGCCCGGUGCUGGAAGGUUAAGAGGACCCGUUAACCCUUCGGGGUGAAGCGCAGAAUUUAAGCCCCAGUAAACGGCGGUGGUAACUAUAACCAUCCUAAGGUAGCGAAAUUCCUUGUCGGGUAAGUUCCGACCUGCACGAAUGGCGUAACGACUUCUCAACUGUCUCAACCAUAGACUCGGCGAAAUUGCACUACGAGUAAAGAUGCUCGUUACGCGCGGCAGGACGAAAAGACCCCGGGACCUUCACUAUAGCUUGGUAUUGGCGUUCGGUUCGGUUUGUGUAGGAUAGGUGGGAGACUGUGAAACUCACACGCCAGUGUGGGUGGAGUCAUUGUUGAAAUACCACUCUGAUCGUAUUGGACUUCUAACCUCGGACCGUAUAUCCGGUCCAGGGACAGUGCCUGGUGGGUAGUUUAACUGGGGCGGUUGCCUCCUAAAAUGUAACGGAGGCGCCCAAAGGUUCCCUCAACCUGGACGGCAAUCAGGUGUUGAGUGCAAGUGCACAAGGGAGCUUGACUGCGAGACGGACAUGUCAAGCAGGGACGAAAGUCGGGACUAGUGAUCCGGCACCCCCGAGUGGAAGGGGUGUCGCUCAACGGAUAAAAGGUACCCCGGGGAUAACAGGCUGAUCUUCCCCAAGAGUCCAUAUCGACGGGAUGGUUUGGCACCUCGAUGUCGGCUCGUCGCAUCCUGGGGCUGGAGCAGGUCCCAAGGGUUGGGCUGUUCGCCCAUUAAAGCGGCACGCGAGCUGGGUUUAGAACGUCGUGAGACAGUUCGGUCUCUAUCCGCCGCGCGCGUCAGAAACUUGAGGAGACCUGUCCCUAGUACGAGAGGACCGGGACGGACGAACCUCUGGUCCACCAGUUGUCCCACCAGGGGCACCGCUGGAUAGCCACGUUCGGACAGGAUAACCGCUGAAAGCAUCUAAGCGGGAAACCUUCUCCAAGACCAGGUUUCUCACCCUUUUAGAGGGAUAAGGCCCCCCGCAGACCACGGGAUCGAUAGACCAGACCUGCACGCACCGCAAGGUGUUCAGGGAACUGGCACUAACCGGCCGAAAACUUACU
rnacentral:rRNA from 1 species